rnacentral:rRNA from 1 species
GCUGGCGGCGUGCCUAAUACAUGCAAGUCGAGCGCGGGAAGCGAGCUGAUCCCUUUCGGGGGGUGACGCUCGUGGAACGAGCGGCGGACGGGUGAGUAACACGUGGGCAACCUGCCUGUAAGAUCGGAAUAACCCCGGGAAACCGGGGCUAAUGCCGGGUAACACUUUCCUUCGCAUGAAGGAGAGUUGAAAGAUGGCUUCUUGCUAUCACUUACAGAUGGGCCCGCGGCGCAUUAGCUAGUUGGUGAGGUAACGGCUCACCAAGGCGACGAUGCGUAGCCGACCUGAGAGGGUGAUCGGCCACACUGGGACUGAGACACGGCCCAGACUCCUACGGGAGGCAGCAGUAGGGAAUCUUCCGCAAUGGACGAAAGUCUGACGGAGCAACGCCGCGUGAACGAUGAAGGUCUUCGGAUCGUAAAGUUCUGUUGUUAGGGAAGAACAAGUACCGUGCGAAUAGAGCGGUACCUUGACGGUACCUAACGAGGAAGCCCCGGCUAACUACGUGCCAGCAGCCGCGGUAAUACGUAGGGGGCAAGCGUUGUCCGGAAUUAUUGGGCGUAAAGCGCGCGCAGGCGGUUCCUUAAGUCUGAUGUGAAAGCCCACGGCUCAACCGUGGAGGGUCAUUGGAAACUGGGGAGCUUGAGGACAGAAGAGGAGAGUGGAAUUCCACGUGUAGCGGUGAAAUGCGUAGAUAUGUGGAGGAACACCAGUGGCGAAGGCGACUCUCUGGUCUGUUUCUGACGCUGAGGUGCGAAAGCGUGGGUAGCAAACAGGAUUAGAUACCCUGGUAGUCCACGCCGUAAACGAUGAGUGCUAGGUGUUAGGGGGCUUCCACCCCUUAGUGCUGAAGUUAACGCAUUAAGCACUCCGCCUGGGGAGUACGGCCGCAAGGCUGAAACUCAAAGGAAUUGACGGGGGCCCGCACAAGCGGUGGAGCAUGUGGUUUAAUUCGAAGCAACGCGAAGAACCUUACCAGGUCUUGACAUCCUUGGACCUCCCUAGAGAUAGGGAUUUCCCUUCGGGGACCAAGUGACAGGUGGUGCAUGGUUGUCGUCAGCUCGUGUCGUGAGAUGUUGGGUUAAGUCCCGCAACGAGCGCAACCCCUAAUCUUAGUUGCCAGCAUUUAGUUGGGCACUCUAAGGUGACUGCCGGUGACAAACCGGAGGAAGGCGGGGAUGACGUCAAAUCAUCAUGCCCCUUAUGACCUGGGCUACACACGUGCUACAAUGGAUGGUACAAAGGGCAGCGAAGCCGCGAGGUGUAGCAAAUC